CGUGCCGUGAGGUGUUGGGUUAAGUCCCGCAACGAGCGCAACCCCUGUCUUCAGUUACCAACGGGUCAUGCCGGGAACUCUGGAGAGACUGCCCAGGAGAACGGGGAGGAAGGUGGGGAUGACGUCAAGUCAGCAUGGCCUUUAUGCCUGGGGCUACACACGUGCUACAAUGGCCGGUACAAAGCGCUGCAAACCCGUAAGGGGGAGCCAAUCGCAAAAAACCGGCCUCAGUUCAGAUUGAGGUCUGCAACUCGACCUCAUGAAGGCGGAAUCGCUAGUAAUCCCGGAUCAGCACGCCGGGGUGAAUACGUUCCCGGGCCUU
rnacentral:rRNA from 1 species